rnacentral:rRNA from 1 species
UAGAGUUUGAUCCUGGCUCACCACUAACGCUGGCGGCGUGCCUAAUACAUGCAAGUCGAGCGGAUCUCGAUGGAAGCUUGCUUCCAUCUUGGUUAGCGGCGGACGGGUGAGUAACACGUAGGCAACCUGNNNNNNNNACCGGGAUAACAUUCGGAAACGAAUGCUAAGACCGGAUAGGCAGCGAGGCGGCAUCGCCUUGCUGAGAAACACGGUGCAAGCUGUGGCUGGAGGAUGGGCCUGCGGCGCAUUAGCUAGUUGGUGGGGUAAUGGCUCACCAAGGCGACGAUGCGUAGCCGACCUGAGAGGGUGAACGGCCACACUGGGACUGAGACACGGCCCAGACUCCUACGGGAGGCAGCAGUAGGGAAUCUUCCACAAUGGGCGCAAGCCUGAUGGAGCAACGCNGCGUGAGUGAGGAAGGCUUUCGGGUCGUAAAGCUCUGUUGCCAGGGNNGAAUAAGAGUGAGGUAACUACUCACUCGAUGACGGUACCUGAGAAGAAAGCCCCGGCUAACUACGUGCCAGCAGCCGCGGUAAUACGUAGGGGGCAAGCGUUGUCCGGAAUUAUUGGGCGUAAAGCGCGCGCAGGCGGUCUUUUAAGUCUGGUGUCUAAGUGCGGGGCUCAACCCCGUGAUGCACUGGAAACUGGGAGACUUGAGUGCAGAAGAGGAGAGCGGAAUUCCACGUGUAGCGGUGAAAUGCGUAGAGAUGUGGAGGAACACCAGUGGCGAACGCGGCUCUCUGGACUGUAACUGACGCUGAGGCGCGAAAGCGUGGGGAGCAA